rnacentral:rRNA from 1 species
AGGGAAUCUUGCGCAAUGGGCGAAAGCCUGACGCAGCGACGCCGCGUGAGGGAUGAAGGCCUUCGGGUCGUAAACCUCUGUCCUUGGGGACGAUGAUGACGGUACCCAAGGAGGAAGCCCCGGCUAACUGCGUGCCAGCAGCCGCGGUAAUACGUAGGGGGCGAUCGUUGUCCGGAAUUAUUGGGCGUAAAGGGUGCGUAGGCGGCUUGGCAAGUCCUGUGUGAAAGGUCGCGGCGCAACCGCGGUGGGUCAUGGGAAACUGCUGAGCUUGAGUGCCGGAGAGGAUAGCGGAAUUCCACGUGUAGCGGUGAAAUGCGUAGAUAUGUGGAGGAACACCAGUGGCGAAGGCGGCUAUCUGGACGGUUACUGACGCUGAGGCACGACAGCUGGGGGAGCAAAC